rnacentral:rRNA from 1 species
CAAGCGUUAAUCGGAAUUACUGGGCGUAAAGCGUGCGUAGGCGGCUAUGUAAGACAGAUGUGAAAUCCCUGGGCUUAACCUAGGAACUGCAUUUGUGACUGCAUUGCUAGAGUGUGGUAGAGGGAGAUGGAAUUCCGCAUGUAGCAGUGAAAUGCGCAGAUAUCAGGAGGAACACCGAUGGCGAAGGCAGGUCUCUGGGCAUUAACUGACGCUGAGGAGCGAAAUCAUGGGGAGCGAACAGG